rnacentral:rRNA from 1 species
CAGGCUUAACACAUGCAAGUCGAGGGGCAGCAUGGUCUUAGCUUGCUAAGGCCGAUGGCGACCGGCGCACGGGUGAGUAACACGUAUCCAACCUGCCGUCUACUCUUGGACAGCCUUCUGAAAGGAAGAUUAAUACAAGAUGGCAUCAUGAGUCCGCAUGUUCACAUGAUUAAAGGUAUUCCGGUAGACGAUGGGGAUGCGUUCCAUUAGAUAGUAGGCGGGGUAACGGCCCACCUAGUCUUCGAUGGAUAGGGGUUCUGAGAGGAAGGUCCCCCACAUUGGAACUGAGACACGGUCCAAACUCCUACGGGAGGCAGCAGUGAGGAAUAUUGGUCAAUGGGCGAGAGCCUGAACCAGCCAAGUAGCGUGAAGGAUGACUGCCCUAUGGGUUGUAAACUUCUUUUAUAAAGGAAUAAAGUCGGGUAUGGAUACCCGUUUGCAUGUACUUUAUGAAUAAGGAUCGGCUAACUCCGUGCCAGCAGCCGCGGUAAUACGGAGGAUCCGAGCGUUAUCCGGAUUUAUUGGGUUUAAAGGGAGCGUAGAUGGAUGUUUAAGUCAGUUGUGAAAGUUUGCGGCUCAACCGUAAAAUUGCAGUUGAUACUGGAUAUCUUGAGUGCAGUUGAGGCAGGCGGAAUUCGUGGUGUAGCGGUGAAAUGCUUAGAUAUCACGAAGAACUCCGAUUGCGAAGGCAGCCUGCUAAGCUGCAACUGACAUUGAGGCUCGAAAGUGUGGGUAUCAAACAGGAUUAGAUACCCUGGUAGUCCACACGGUAAACGAUGAAUACUCGCUGUUUGCGAUAUACAGCAAGCGGCCAAGCGAAAGCGUUAAGUAUUCCACCUGGGGAGUACGCCGGCAACGGUGAAACUCAAAGGAAUUGACGGGGGCCCGCACAAGCGGAGGAACAUGUGGUUUAAUUCGAUGAUACGCGAGGAACCUUACCCGGGCUUAAAUUGCAGAUGAAUUACGGUGAAAGCCGUAAGCCGCAAGGCAUCUGUGAAGGUGCUGCAUGGUUGUCGUCAGCUCGUGCCGUGAGGUGUCGGCUUAAGUGCCAUAACGAGCGCAACCCUUGUUGUCAGUUACUAACAGGUUCCGCUGAGGACUCUGACAAGACUGCCAUCGUAAGAUGUGAGGAAGGUGGGGAUGACGUCAAAUCAGCACGGCCCUUACGUCCGGGGCUACACACGUGUUACAAUGGGGGGUACAGAGGGCCGCUACCACGCGAGUGGAUGCCAAUCCCCAAAACCUCUCUCAGUUCGGACUGGAGUCUGCAACCCGACUCCACGAAGCUGGAUUCGCUAGUAAUCGCGCAUCAGCCACGGCGCGGUGAAUACGUUCCCGGGCCUUGUACACACCGCCCGUCAAGCCAUGGGAGCCGGGGGUACCUGAAGUGCGUAACCGCGAGGAGCGCCCUAGGGUAAAACUGGUGACUGGGGCUAAGUCAUAAC